CCAACGGCUCUUUUCAGAGCCAACCACACACUCAAAAAAGAUCUC
rfam:Strongylocentrotus purpuratus Contig41821_fixed, whole genome shotgun sequence.